UACGUAGGGUGCGAGCGUUAAUCGGAAUUACUGGGCGUAAAGCGUGCGCAGGCGGUUUUGUAAGCCAGAUGUGAAAGCCCCGGGCUUAACCUGGGAAUGGCAUUUGGGACUGCAAGGCUUGAGUGCGGCAGAGGAGACUGGAAUUCCUGGUGUAGCAGUGAAAUGCGUAGAUAUCAGGAGGAAUACUGAUGGCGAAGGCAGGUCUCUGGGCUGACACUGACGCUCAUGCACGAAAGCGUGGGGAGCAAACAGG
rnacentral:rRNA from 1 species